rnacentral:rRNA from 1 species
UACAGAGGUCUCAAGCGUUGUCCGGAAUCAUUGGGCGUAAAGAGCGUGUAGGCGGCUCAGAAAGUCCGCUGUGAAAGUCCAGGGCUCAACCCUGGAAUGCCAGUGGAAACUGUUGAGCUAGAGUCCGGAAGAGGCGAGUGGAAUUCCUGGUGUAGCGGUGAAAUGCGCAGAUAUCAGGAGGAACACCGAUGGCGAAGGCAGCUCGCUGGGACGGUACUGACGCUGAGACGCGAAAGCGUGGGGAGCAAACAGG